GACGAACGCUGGCGGCGUGCUUAACACAUGCGAGUCGUACGGUAAGGCCCUUUCGGGGGUACACGAGUGGCGCACGGGUGAGUAACACGUGAGUAACCUGCCCACAACUUUGGGAUAACGCUAGGAAACUGGUGCUAAUACUGGAUAUGUGCUCCUGCUGCAUGGUGGGGGUUGGAAAGCUCCGGCGGUUGUGGAUGGACUCGCGGCCUAUCAGCUUGUUGGUGGGGUAGUGGCCUACCAAGGCGGCGACGGGUAGCCGGCCUGAGAGGGUGACCGGCCACAUUGGGACUGAGAUACGGCCCAGACUCCUACGGGAGGCAGCAGUGGGGAAUAUUGCACAAUGGGCGCAAGCCUGAUGCAGCAACGCCGCGUGCGGGAUGACGGCCUUCGGGUUGUAAACCGCUUUCAGCAGGGACGAAGCUUUUUGUGACGGUACCUGCAGAAGAAGCACCGGCUAACUACGUG
rnacentral:rRNA from 1 species